GACGUAGGGCGCAAGCGUUGUCCGGAUUUAUUGGGCGUAAAGAGCUCGUAGGCGGCUUGUUGCGUCGUCCGUGAAAACCCGUGGCUCAACUGCGGGCUUGCGGACGAUACGGGCAGGCUGGAGUUCGGUAGGGGAGACUGGAAUUCCUGGUGUAGCGGUGAAAUGCGCAGAUAUCAGGAGGAACACCGAUGGCGAAGGCAGGUCACUGGGCCACUACUGACGCUGAGGAGCGAAAGCAUGGGGAGCGAACAGG
rnacentral:rRNA from 1 species